rnacentral:lncRNA from 1 species
GGCAGGGUGGCAUGUACCUGGAGUCCCAGCUACUCAGGAGGCUGAGGGAGGAGGAUCCCUUGUGCCCAGGAGAUCAAGGCUGCAGUAAGCUAUGAGCAUCACUGCACGACAGCCUGGGCAACAGAGACUCUCUAUCAAAAAAAAAAAAAAAAAAUUAGUAGGAAGGGCAAACAGCUAAAUGUAACUACUCCACAUCCUUUUUUUAUUGUUCCCCUUUCUCACGAACAAAAUUUCCAUCCUAAGUAGAAUUCCCCUUCAGAAGGCUUACAUUCAAGGGGAUACAGUACUAAUGAAAAUGUAAGUGCUCUGCCUCUUUUUCAGCUAUCAGUGAUAUAGGAUUCUAGGCAUGGCAGUAGCACAUCGCUUUACACAGGGGUUCCACUGACCUAAAAAUCUACUGUUGAGGAAUCUUAAUUAAAUUGAUAAGUUCCAUUUCUGUUGAAGAAUAUAGCCAACAUGCUAAUGAACUCUUUUCUCAGUUAAUUCCACUAAUUAGUUAUCUCUUCUUGUUCUGCCAGAAUCCCAACCCUUUUACAAUCUACUCAUCAAAUCCAUCAGGCCACAUAUUAUGCCUUCCUAGAGGAACACUUUUCGUGAUGACACUUUGUAAACAAGGCAAUCUGAUGCUGCCUGUUCUAUCUUCCCAGAUCUAGUUGAUAGUUCAAAACAUCAACAUUAACCACAAG